GACGCGCAUGAUCGCGCCGGUGCCCGACAGGGCUGAAAACGGGAAUGCGGUGCGGGGGGCGCAGGCCUUCCAAAUCCGCGGCUGUCCCUGCAACUGUAAGCGGUGAGCGCGAUGCGCAGGGUCCGGCGCCUUCCCAGGGGAGGCGCGGACCGGCCACUGGAUCGAUAGGGUCCGGGAAGGCUGGCGCAUCGUUGCCCUGACCCGCGAGCCAGGAGACCUGCCGGCGUCUGGUCGCUCUU
rnacentral:ncRNA from 2 species